UCUUAGUACAAAAUGUUUCAAAAUUAACAGUUUAGACUAUCUUCAAAAUUAAUCAUGAACCAAAAACUGUUAUUACCGAUUUGAACAAUAACAAUUUAUGCAGUCAUCUCAUAUAAAUAACUGAUAUAAAAUGUGCAAUUUAAAGUGAAUAAAAGUGGAUGAAACUUAAACGGUGCAACUUAAUGUAUUGAUAUACUAGAUUGUUAAUUAUAAAACUUACUAUUACUUGGAAUUAUGGUUGGAGAAAAUAUGGGUUAACAUAUUUCUUCAGUUCUUCUUUUGCGAUAACCUAGUGGAGAAAGGAGGAUUUAAAUUAAUUACUAUUAAAAAAUAAUGGAUGUGUGCAUAUUACUAAAAUUGUUAAAAUUGCAAUUUUAAAUAGUAGGUAUUUAUUAUAAUUAUUCUUGAAAUGAAAUUCACGGCUUUUGAUUACCGGACUUUACUUGUGUAACGAAAAUAUCAAAACUUAUUUGAUAACAUUUCCGAGGAAGACUACUGUGAAAGAAUCCUAGCAAAUGACGGCAAGUAAUAUCAUAACUUUAUUGGAUUCAUGAGCACAAUCCUCGGACAUGUAAAAGUUUAAUGACGAAAUCUCGACUCUGUGCUUAUUAGCAACUAUGCGAAUAUUGUGAAUAUUCUGUGUAGUAGAAACUUUUUGGAGUCGUAGGAGUCGUAAACAACUGAUUUUAUUACUACUUUAUGGUCUCAUGAUGAAAGAUCAACUGAGUGCUUAUUGAUAAGUAUACAGCUUAUCAUAACUUGGAAGCCGUGCAUAAGUUGGAACAGGACUUACUUAACUGCCAAUUUAUGCUAUCAUGAGAAGCCAAAUUUUAAAAUAAACAAAUGUAAAUAAUUAAAAAAAAACGUAUGAUUUAAGACUUGCGAUAUUAUUUAAGAUUAUUUAAUUCGAAUACAACAUGGCUAGACUAUUCCCAGAUUUUUGUUAAGUACCCUACAAACGCUACUGGCUUAUGGAUUAUUAAAUUUUUAACUCGGACAAAAUUAAUUAAGUGUAAUCGGUUUGAGAACUUCAUCAAAAUUUUUGGUUUAUGAAACAAAAAACUUUUAUUUUCAAAAUUGUUGGUUGAAUUUAAAGCUUACU